UACGUAGGGGGCUAGCGUUGUCCGGAUUUAUUGGGCGUAAAGCGCGUGUAGGCGGCCAGGUAGGUCCGUUGUGAAAACUCGAGGCUCAACCUCCAGACGUCGACGGAAACCGUGUGGCUAGAGUCCGGAAGAGGAGAGUGGAAUUCCUGGUGUAGCGGUGAAAUGCGCAGAUAUCAGGAAGAACACCAAUGGCGAAGGCAGCUCUCUGGGACGGUACUGACGCUGAGACGCGAAAGCGUGGGGAGCGAACAGG
rnacentral:rRNA from 1 species